UUGUCCUAAGCAAUAUUGAAGCUCAAAUGCAAUCUUCACCAGCAGUUAAUAAUCAACAAUCCUUUGCUAAUCACCUUGGGGCAUAUGAUUUUCGUGGACCAAUUCCUGGGGCACAUGUUAUUAAACCACAAUCCUUGCAGCAGAUGGAACACUCUAGUUCAAUUAUGGAUAAUGUUGGUGGUGAUAGGUUGGACUCAAUAGGAA